UUGGAGGGCAAGUCUGGUGCCAGCAGCCGCGGUAAUUCCAGCUCCAAUAGCGUAUAUUAAAGUUGUUGCAGUUAAAAAGCUCGUAGUUGAAUUUCGGGAUCUGUCCGUCGGUCGGGCCUCACGGUCCGCACUGGUGUGAUGGAUUCCUACCUUCUGAAUAACCGGUAUGCCAUUAAUUUGAUGUGCCGGGGAAGCAGAACCAUUACCUUGAAAAAAUUAGAGUGCUCAAAGCAGGCCUAUGCCUGAAUACAUUAGCAUGGAAUAAUAAAAUAGGACGGCAUGGUUCUAUUUUGUUGGUUUCUAGGAUCACCGUAAUGAUUAAUAGGGAUAGUUGGGGGCAUUAGUAUUCAAUUGUCAGAGGUGAAAUUCUUGGAUUUAUUGAAGACUAACUUCUGCGAAAGCAUUUGCCAAGGAUGUUUUCAUUAAUCAAGAACGAAAGUUAGGGGAUCGAAGACGAUCAGAUACCGUCGUAGUCUUAACCAUAAACUAUGCCGACUAGGGAUCGGACGAUGUUAAUUUUAUAAUGACUCGUUCGGCGCCUUACGGGAAAC
rnacentral:rRNA from 1 species